rnacentral:rRNA from 1 species
UGGUGGAGUGAUUUGUCUGCUUAAUUGCGAUAACGAACGAGACCUUGACCUGCUAAAUAGCCAGCAUUGCUUUGGCAGUGCGCCGGCUUCUUAGAGGGACUAUCGGCUCAAGCCGAUGGAAGUGCGAGGCAAUAACA